UACUCGUCAUGGCAGCAUCGUUUUGACUGAAAGGGGACGAAGUACCAACCAAAACGUGGAUGUUACUUACUUUUACCGAACUAAAAUCGCCACUAACAAUCUUAUUCUGUGAUUCAAACACAUUGAAGCAGCAUCCCCGCGCUCCCUGCACUGUAGUAGUAAAUACCAGCCGAGGUUUGGCAGCACGUUUGGGGCCUGUGUGUGCUAAGCUGCUAGCAGCGCCAGCGCGGCGGUGCUGCUAUCGACUCUGCCUGCUCCUGCAGCCACUACAACCAGCUCAUGUCGGUGUAAAGACACCAGUACCAGCGACCCCAGCUAGUCCUAAGCCUGGCCGCAGUGGUGGGGAGUUCUGGUUGGAGUUAAGAUGAUAAUUGAAAACAUUGAUGCUUUGAAAACAUGGCUGUCUGAAACCCUGGAGCCCAUUUGUGAUGCAGACCCUUCUGCACUCGCCAAGUAUGUUGUAGCUCUGGUGAAGAAAGACAAAACUGAGAAGGAACUUAAAGCUCUGUGUAUAGACCAGUUGGAUGUAUUUCUUCAAAAAGAAACCCAGCCAUUUGUGGACAAGCUGUUUGAAGCUAUUGACAACAAAAGCUUCCUCCCUCAGCCAGAACAGCCAUCAUCGCUGGUUAAAGUUGAGAAGGAGGAGCUGAAGAAAGAUGAGACAAAUAGGGAAGAAGAACGAGACAAGAAGUUUUCUCGGCGAGUGAACCAUAGCCCUCUGCAAUCAAGCUCCCGCUAUGGCAGAGAUGUCAGGAGAGGAGAUGACCGUAAGAGAGAUGAUCGCUCCAGGAAGAGAGAUUAUGAUCGCAACCCACCAAGGAGGGAUUUGUACCGCGAUCGCUACAAUCGGAGGAGAGGUCGCAGUUAUAGUCGUAGUAGGAGCCGAAGUUGGAGCAAAGACCGAAUCCGAGACCGCGACAGAGAGAGGGAUAGAGAUAGGGACAGAGACCGAGAUCGUAGCAGGAGCCGGUCUCUCAGCAGAACUAGAUCCAGAAGCAGGAGUCGAGAUCGAGAUUCAGGAAAGUUAAAGUAUGACCACGAUCGAGUUGACAGGUCAGAGGGUGCUGACGUCUAUACUCCAGCAGCACUCGUCACCACAGCAACCACUUCUCACUUCCCUGUGCCAUCACUGAGUAGCACCAUUACAGUCAUUGCCCCCACACAUCAUCACAGCAACAACACGACGGAGAGCUGGUCAGACUUCCGCUCUGAGCACCCCGUGGAUCGUGCUCCUUUUAAUCGGGGACCACCACCUCCACAGAGGAAGCGAUGCCGUGACUACGAUGAAAAAGGUUUCUGCAUGCGAGGAGACAUGUGUCCUUUUGAUCAUGGGAGUGAUCCAGUUGUGGUGGAGGAUGUCAAUCUGCCCAGUAUGUUGCCCUUCCAACCCCCACCAAUCCCAGGUGUGGAGCCACCACCGCCUCCAGGUCUCCCACCACCACCACCACUCAUGAGCCCCCCACCUGUGAAUCUCCGGCCCCCUGUGCCCCCACCAGGGGCCCUCCCACCCAGCCUUCCACCUGUUGCAGGCCCCCCUCCUCCACUUCCUCCUCUACAACCUGCAGGCAUGGAUGCUCCUCCUAAUUCUAUCACCAGCUCUGUUCCCACCAUCGUUACCUCUGGGAUGCGCUCGUCACUUCCCCAGGCCUCAGUGCCACUCUUCACUUCUGACCGCUAUGAUACAGAUGUGUACAAUCCUGAGGCUCCCAGCAUCACCAACACUUCGAGGCCAAUCUACCGCCACCGGGUUAAUGCGCAAAGACCCAACUUAAUUGGCCUCACCAUGGGGGAGGUCGACCAUCCACAGAGAGACAAGAUCCCUAACAACAGUAUGAGAAUCGUGAUGGAAUCUGAAUCGAGGAAGCGAUUAGGUCCCUCACAUGAUGGUAGUUUAACCUCCAAGAAGCCUUGGUUUGAUAGACCAAACUUCAACAAACCCAACCACCAGGGCUACCACAAAAGAACUCCGUUCUCUCCUAAUGCCAAGCUGCUUGUUCGGCAAAUUCCUCCUGAGCUCAACAACAUCAGCAAGCUCAAUGAACAUUUUGGCAAGUUUGGCACCAUCGUCAACUUGCAGGUGGCCUACCAGAAUGACCCAGAGGGGGCACUGAUACAGUUUGCAUCUCCAGAGGAAGCGAAGCGGGCUAUGCACAGUACAGAAGCUGUUCUCAACAAUCGAUUCAUCAAGGUGUUCUGGUUUCGUGAAGAACAGGGUGAUGGACAGGGCCAGUCUCACUCCCAGCAGCCUCCGCCACAACCAGCCUCGCAGAUGCCAGAAACGACUCUUAAGCAGUCGGUCAAGGAUCGCCUCGGGCCCCUGCUCCCUGCAAAUUCUGAGCCCUCUCAAGAGUCCAGUGUUACUUCCCAGAAUACCUCUAAAGUGUCAGUAAAGGAUCGUUUGGGUUUCUCCGCCAAACAAGCCACUCCUGUUGAAAAAGUGUUUUCAACAUCUAUGGGCCUCACAAAGACUGUAUACAAUCCUGCUGCUCUGAAGUCAGUCCAAAGGACCUCGGAGGAAGCCCUGAAGAAGAAACAGGAAGCCCUAAAACUACAGCAGGAUGUGAGGAAGAAGAAGCAGGAAAUAUUAGAGAAGCACAUCGAGACACAGAAGCUUCUAAUAUCAAAACUUGAAAAGAACAAAGCAAUAAAGGCAGAAGAUAAAGCCAAGAUCAUGGAAACUUUGGGGGCAUUAACAAAAAGCAUCACCAAACUGCAAGAAGAGAUAAAGGGAAUCUCCAGCUGCAUCAACCCGCUCCGGACCGCCAAGAGCAAGGCCCAGGCACAAAAAGAACUAUUGGAUGCAGAGCUGGACCUGUAUCAGAAGACUCAGGCUGGAGAGGACACAGCUUCGCUAAAGAUCAAGUAUACGCAGCUCCAAAUUGAGGCAGCUAAAAGGGGACUCCUCUCGCCAGGGCGAGGCCGGGGUGUCCAUGCUGGGGGCCGUGGUGCUCUCAGGGCCCGGGGUAGAGGCUCCAGGGGGCGGGGAAGAGGCGUACCCAUGCAUGCAGUGGUGGACCAUCGACCCAGAGCGCUGGAAAUUUCUGGUUUCACCGAUGUAGACCGAGUAGACCUGCUGCCACACUUUGCUCAAUUUGGAGAAAUUGAAGAUUGCCAGAUGGAUGAGAACAACAUGUCUGCAGUCGUGACAUACAAGACAAGAGCGGAGGCGGAGCAGGCGGCUCUGCACGGAGUGAGAUUGAACAACCAGACGCUGCGCUUGGCCUGGCAUAAACCCGCUCAGACCCUCAGUACUGUGGAGGCCGAUGAGGAAGAACCCCAGGAGGAUGAGUACCCAGAGGAGUCUCUGAGUGAUGAUGCAUUGCUGCAGGAUGACGACGAGGAAGAUGAUGACAACGAGCCUCGCUCAUGGCGCAGAUGAAGAUUGAACCAGAAAUUCUCUUCUUCUUGCACUGGUUUGGACAACAAGCAACAAUCUAGCAACUUUAUAGAAUUCAAUGCUUGUUUAUAAAUGAGCAGGGCACGCUUCACUAGCCGUUUAGUUUGUUUUUUUCCCCCUAACACAUAUGUAACUGGCAGAAGAAAUAUGUGCAGUUUGAUCCAUUUUAAUAUGUAAACCAGAAUAAACAGUGAUGAUUUUUAUUUUUUAAUUUUUUUUUUUUAAUGCUCUUAAUAUAGAUAUGUUUUUGUUUUCGGUUCUCAAAAUGCAAAUGGUCUGUCUGGACAUGUGACAGCUGAUCACUCAAAGACACAUUUGUUGAACUUUCAGUUAAAAGAACUUGAGUUGUAAUUUGACUGAAUGAAAGACGGUGGCUUUUGCAGAAUAGUGUUAGGUUGACUGGUUGAAAUGCUUGUGUGUAAAUAUUUUAUGUGUGGAUUUAAGUGAUUUGUAUGAAAGCUUUGCUCUCAGUUCUUGGCUUUAUUUUGGAUUGUACAAAAAAAAUAAAGAAUUGAAAUGGUCUAAAAAAAAAACUGCCAAAAACAAAAAAAGGAAAAAUGUUUAAAAAAAAAAAAAAAGAAGAAAAAAACAAAAAAGACUGGCAGUGAGAAAAAUAACACUCCUCCAAAAGAGGUGGGGAAAAGACCAUUUCAAAAAAACAAAACAAAAAAACUUCCUUUUCACCUUAAGAGCAAACUUCCUGAAACGAUUCCUUCUUUCAUAAACUUUAAUUUUGGGUUUGGAUCGGUAUGGUAUUCAGACAAACUUUUCAUGGCAAGAGCUGCCAGCAGCCUCCAGGAUGGUGCUUCUCUCUCUCUUAUUUAUUGUUUGUCAGUGUCUGUAUGUAAAUUCAAGUGUUGUUGUAAUACAAAUACAUGUUUUUUAACAAAGAAUUGUUAACACUGCCUUAUGUGUGAUAGCGGAAUUGUGGUUACCACUAUGAACUGUUU